rnacentral:tRNA from 1 species
GCUUAAAUAGUUUAAUUAAAAUAUUGAUUUGUGGAGUCAAAGAUGAAUAUAUAAGAUUUUUUAGGUU